rnacentral:rRNA from 1 species
AUUGAACGCUGGCGGCAGGCCUAACACAUGCAAGUCGAACGAGUGGCGGACGGGUGAGUAAUGUCUGGGAAACUGGCCGAUGGAGGGGGAUAACUACUGGAAACGGUAGCUAAUACCGCAUACCAUCGGAUGUGCCCAGAUGGGACUAGCUAGUAGGUGGGGUAACGGUUCACCUAGGCGACGAUCCCUAGCUGGUCUGAGAGGAUGACCAGCCACACUGGAACUGUGACACUGUCCAGACUCCUACGGGAGGCAGCAGUGGGGAAUAUUGCACAAUUGGCGCAAGCCUGAUGCAGCCAUGCCGCGUGUAUGAAGAAGGCCUUCGGGUUGUAAAGUACUUUCAGCGUGGAGGCGUUACUCGCAGAAGAAGCACCGGCUAACUCCGUGCCAGCAGCCGCGGUAAUAC